rnacentral:lncRNA from 1 species
CGGAGCAGCGCCCGGCCACACCCCCCGGGCCGGCUUUUUCUAGGGCUGCUGCGGGCCACUGGGCGCUGGCUGCUCCCGCUCGCCUCUCGCCCUGCGCUCAGCUCCAGCCCUGCUCCGGCUCUGCUCCGCCACGCCUUCGAGCUCCCGCACCGCGACCUCCGGCUCCUGGCUUUCGGCUCCUCCGUCGCCUGGAGUCCCGCACCACUGCAACCUCGCGCCCUCCGAAGUCCAGGUCGACGCAGCGGAGCGGCUUCGCAGGAAAAUCCCAGAAACCUUUGCAAAAAGCUUACAAUGAAAUUUAAGAAGUUCUGCGAUUUCGGCGCCAUUUUCGAGUGGAGUGAGAGCAUGAAACUGGACGUUGGAAAAGUAUGGCUAGAAGGUGCAGAGGACUUGUACAUCAAGUGUUUUGGGUGUGGGGGAACAUGGCAUCUUCAACGUUAA